rnacentral:lncRNA from 1 species
UACUCAUAACAAUGGGUAAAUAAACUACUAAAAGAUUCUUAAUCAUAAAUUGCAAGAAAAAUAAAGAAGAAUAAGAACAAUGAUGUUUUGGGUGAUCUCUCAUACUUGUUUUCCUUGCCAAAGUACUCUAUAAAAUAUUACAUGCCUCCUAGCGGCGAGUUCUAUUUUUUAAAAUAGGAUUUGGGCUAAAAAUCCCGUGUUUUGCACUUCAGUCCCUCAACUUUACGCAUCCUGCCGCAGUCCUACCGUGGUCACUCCAGGACCGCGGCCAAAUGACUUCUUAGAAUCCGCAAUAGCUUCCUGUCGCGGUUCGACUGCAGUUAUGCCGGGACCACGGUAGUCCAUCUCCAGAUCUGGUUUGUGCAUUUCGCAUGGUGCACUUGGUGGAUAUUGUGCGAUUGGCCUCUUUUUCUCCAUAAUUGAUCCCAAAAGUACUCCAUAACCUUCUUUUAUUGUAUGUAACCUGCAAAACAUGAAAAGCACUAAUCAGAGCAUUUUAUUAUCACUUUUACUAUAAAAACUAUACAAGAAAGUGGUUCUUUAGGGCCUAAUUAUAGUUCAAUUCACUUAUUAUCAACACCCUACACUUAAAUCUUUGCUCAUCCUUGAGCAAGUUGAACCAUACUUCUCGAUGCAUUACCCAGUUUUAUGUCACAUCCGCCAUUAUAAAAGAACGACCUAAGCAGUGCAACAUCCAUACCUCAUAUGAAGACUCUAAUGUCAUGCCACACUCGUGUUUACUCUAGUUACUCUAAACAGAUGUGAAAACUUAUUUUUUCUUCCCGAGUCACAUGCCUUCACAUCACGUUUUUGAGAGAAGUUCCACACAUAAAAAAUCAAGCACAAGGAACUAUAGAUAGAAAGAAUUCACUCAUUCUCGGCAAAGAACAUUCACAUGCCACACAGAUACACCAUAAGCUUGCCCUUAGUGUAAUACUAUACUAAUCGAGUUGUUUUAGUCUAAAAUCAAGAGGUCUUUAUUUGUUUGUAAUGUAGGCUAAGGGACGAGUAGGAUAUAUUUAGAUAUAGUGACUAAUCUCUCUAGGCACUUUUAAAAUAUUCGUUCCUUUAUUCCGAUUUUCGUGUUUAACCCAGUCAUUCUUCCGCACUUGUUUCGUAAGCUACCCCACUUUCUUAGGUGCAACUGGCUUUUUCGUGCCAUUCACUAUUUUAAGACCACAUAUUUACAAGGUCCUUCUUCUGCAUUUCAAUAUUUAUUUUAACAACCAUUGCACCAUUCAAGUAUUUUCCUGAUUUUCUUUUUCUACUCCCUUAUCACCUCACACUUUGACUUUUACAUGAUCUUUAAUAAUUUAAGUGCUUCUAGGAGGCAAAGGGUCAAAUAGUCAAGCUAUUCAACACAUGGAUGUAGGUUAUUGCAAGGUUAUCAAAGAAACAGGUAUUAGGCUCAAAGGGGUUAAGAAUGACAAUAUGUACAGGUGGAUUCAUAAUUAAACAGGCUUCACAAGGAAAUGCCUCAAUCAUCUCUAAAACCAAACAACUUGUUACGUCCCAAAAGCUUUAGGCUCAACGGAGUUAACUAUGGUGAUACGUACAGGUGGAUUCAUGGUUAGAUCGGCUACACAAAGAAAUGCCUCAAUCAUCUCUAAGACCAAACAACUUCUAUUUUGCUUUGCAAAUACACCAGACAAGUUUUAGGUAUCACAUGCAAGCACAGAAUACGGGUAUUACCUCUCAAACACUUGGCAUGUAACUCAUUCCGAAUUAGUUGGUCAAUACACU